rnacentral:rRNA from 1 species
ACGGGGUGCAGCAGGCGCGAAAACUUCACAAUGCGGGAACCGCGAUAAGGGGACACCGAGUGCCAGCAUAUUAUGUUGGCUGUCCAUAUGUAUAAAUAACAUGUGUUAGCAAGGGCCGGGCAAGACCGGCGCCAGCCGCCGCGGUAACACCGGCGGCCCGAGUGGUAGCCACUAUUAUUGGGUCUAAAGGGUCCGUAGCCGGUUUGUUCAGUCUUCCGGGAAAUCUGACAGCUCAACUGUUAGGCUUCCGGGGGAUACUGUCAGACUUGGAACCGGGAGAGGUAAGAGGUACUACAGGGGUAGGAGUGAAAUCUUGUAAUCCUUGUGGGACCACCAGUGGCGAAGGCGUCUUACCAGAACGGGUUCGACGGUGAGGGACGAAGGCUGGGGGCACGAACCGGAUUAGAUACCCGGGUAGUCCCAGCCGUAAACGAUGCUCGCUAGGUGUCUGGGAUGGUACGACCGUUUCAGGUGCCGCAGGGAAGCCGUGAAGCGAGCCACCUGGGAAGUACGGCCGCAAGGCUGAAACUUAAAGGAAUUGGCGGGGGAG